rnacentral:misc_RNA from 1 species
UCCUAGUUGACCUAGGCAGUCUCGCUAGAGUUCCCGACAUUACUCGCUGGCAACUAACGAUAAGGGUUGCGCUCGUUGCUGGACUUAACCAAACACCUCACGGCACGAGCUGACGACAGCCAUGCAGCACCUCUGUAAAGGCCUUACGGCGACACCUUUUCUGAUGUCUUCCUUCACAGUUCAAGCCCAGGUAAGGUUCUUCGCGUUGCAUCGAAUUAAACCACAUGCUCCACUGCUUGUGCGGGCCCCCGUCAAUUCUUUUGAGUUUCACCCUUGCGAGCGUACUCCCCAGGCGGCAUACUUAUCGUGUUAACUUCGAGACAGAUGGGGUUGAAUCCGCCUACCUCUAGUAUGCAUCGUUUACGGUGUGGACUAC